AUGGAAACAUGGGAAUGAAAUCGGAAAAGUGCGCCGUUCUUUUUUCUAUACUUUUAAUUACAAAUGUAUUUCAGCUAUUCAGAAAGUGGACCAGUUGAUCCAGUUCGUCGAAGAAAAUAACUUAGACCCAUGUUGCCUGAUAAACUUGAUAGAAUAUAUACCUUCGAAAAACUACAAUUUAUUGAAAGCGGUGAAUUAAAUUUAAUUUUUCCUAAUCGUGAAGACACUGCAUUGCGUUCCGAGUUUAGGGCAAAGUUAAUGGAGUGGAAAGUUAGAAAUAAAAUAGUCAGGCCGACUAUUGUUCAACCGGUAUCACUGCCAAUCCAAAAUAUACAAGAAGACAUCGAUAUGCGAAGUGGUUCCGGGCUUGUAAGUUGGAGCACGAUUUUAAUAACCUGCACUCCGAUCGACAAUACUGUUUCACAACGAAGUGGGAAAGAACGGUACCAAAGUUCAUGUCCUAUUAUUCCUUAAACGUAAAAGACAGAUUUUACAAGCAACUUUUAACGUCCCUAAACAAUGUUGUUGGCGAUGGCCCAAGGGACUGUAUAUUGUUUAUGGCUUUGCACGCUGUUA